rnacentral:rRNA from 1 species
UUUGGUGGCGAUGCGCUUAAGGGAAACACCCGUUCUCAUCCCGAACACGAUGGUUAAGCCUUAAGCGGCCGAUGGUACUGCACUGGUAACGGUGUGGGAGAGUAGGUGGCCGCCAAAA